rnacentral:rRNA from 1 species
GACGAGUCUCACGAACGUUAUUCGGAAUUACUGGGCUUAAAGGGUGCGUAGGCGGUGAAGUAAGUCGGGUGUGAAAUACCAUAGCUUAACUAUGGAACUGCACUCGAUACUACUUUGCUAGAGUAAGACAGAGGUGAGUGGAACUGAGGGUGGAGCGGUGAAAUGCGUUGAUAUCCGCAGGAACACCGGUGGCGAAGGCGACUCACUGGGUCUUUACUGACGCUGAUGCACGAAAGCUAGGGUAGCAAACGGG